rnacentral:rRNA from 1 species
GACGAACGCUGGCGGCGUGCUUAACACAUGCAAGUCGAACGGAAAGGCCCUGCUUUUGUGGGGUGCUCGAGUGGCGAACGGGUGAGUAACACGUGAGUAACCUGCCCUUGACUUUGGGAUAACUUCAGGAAACUGGGGCUAAUACCGGAUAGGAGCUCCUGCUGCACGGUGGGGGUUGGAAAGUUUCGGCGGUUGGGGAUGGUAUCGCGGCUUAUCAGCUUGUUGGUGGGGUAGUGGCUGUCCAAGGCUUUGACGGGUAGCCGGCCUGAGAGGGUGACCGGGCACAUUGGGACUGCGGUACGGCCCAGACUCCUACGGGAGGCAGCAGUGGGGAAUAUUACGCAAUGGGCGGAAGCCUGAUGCAGCGGCGCCGCGUGCGGGAUGACGGCCUUCGGGUUGUAAACCGCUUUCGCCUGUGACGAAGCGUGAGUGACGGUAAUGGGUAAAGAAGCACCGGCUAACUACGUG